CUAAAAAAGAAAAGAAGAAAAGAAAAGAAAAGAAACCCUCGCCGCCGCACCCGUCCUUCCAGCGGCUGUUUCCCCAAAUCCGAGCUCCGGCGCCGUCGCUACUAUCGCCGUCCAACCGCACCUCCCCCGAAUCCUCCUCCUGCCGUCUUCACGCCAGUCGACCGCGUCUGCCGGGCCGAUCGAUCGAGUCCUAGGCAUGCUGCUCCCCCCCGUAGAAGAGGUAUCCGGAUCCAGGAGGACUCGGUCGAGCGCCAGGCGGCGGCGGCGGCGGCAGCGGCAGCAGCAGCAGCGAUCGGAGUGCCAGGAACCCGGGCCUACCCCUUCCGUGCGCCGCCGAGGCGUGCAAGAGCGAAAAAGGAAUAGGGCCGGUGGUAGCUGUGAUGAUGAGAAGGCCUGCAGAUUGAAGAUUAGGACGUGCGAGGACGCGGCGCUACCACCUGAUGCAGCAACUGCAAGGGCACAAGAAGAAGAAGCAAAGGAGGAGUUGGAGGCUGCCUCCUCUGCCCUCUGUGAACCACGCAUCUACCAGGAAGUUGUGUACAAGGAAGUUAUUGGGUAUGAUUCCAGUGCUGUGGAGGUCUAUUCAGAGACCUUUAGGAAGGAAGAAGAUCAAGCAAAUGAGGAGGAGGAUGCUGUUUCCUCUGCUCCCAGCUCCCCCCUCUGUGAGCCACGCAUCCUCCAGGAUGGGCAUGAUUCUAAUGGUGUGGGGAUCUGCAAGCCUAUCGACUUAGAGACCUUCAGGGCAUAUCGUCAGGCCAAGGCGAAAUUUGAAGAGAAAUUAGCUCGCAAAAUGAAACUGCCCACACUUGAUGACAGUAUAUCUAGCUGUCCUGUGGAUGUUGAGUUGCGUCAUGCUCAGCAAUCAGUUGCAAAGGCUGCCAGAAAUCUUGCCUUCGCGCUUUCAUCUUCAAUUGGUGGGAAGCCAUUAACUCAAUGCUCAGGCUUCUUCAUUGGCUGGGAUGAGAGCGAUGAGAGUCAUGAGACUGGUAUUAUAUUGACAUCGGCGCAUCUAAUUUGUUCACAACAACUCUCAUUGGAUAGCUGGUUGUGCAAAGAUGAAUAUGCACCUGAUGCAGAGGUCACAGUUCACUUUCCAGACAGGACCACUGCAAAAGGCAAAUUGUGCUACUACCAAAAGCACUACAAUAUUGCACUAUUCAGAACUAAAGUGAAGCCUUCUCUUCAGCUGCCCUUUUUCAAUGACAACGUGAACUGUGGUCAAGAGGUAUUCAUGCUUGGAAGGGAUGAGAAUUCAAUAUUAAAGAUUAACCAUGGUCAGGUGCAAUUUCAGAAUCCAUGCACUUUUGAGCGGCAUCACUUUAUGUACACUUAUGGUGCAGCCCUGGAGUGUUGUAUUGGCGGGCCAAUUGUUGAUUUCAAUGGAGGGAUUGUUGGGAUGUCCACGCCUGAUACUGAAGGAUCAUUUAUACCUACUUCAAUUAUACUCAGAUGCUUUCAUCUGUGGAGAAAACAUGAGCGCAUUCCUCGACCCCACCUCCAGUUGAAGCUUUGCGCCAUCCAGUAUCUUGAUCCAGCUCAGAGUGAGAGGAUAUUACUCGAAUGUGGCAUUGAUGACGGUCUCAUUGUCCAAGAGGUAUAUAUUAUUUAGUUUUGUGUAAUCACUUUAUUUAUGUUGUUUUUAUGUGUGUUUUCAUAGGGUUGCUGAUUCUCAUGUAAAUUAUUGGUUAAUGGAUCAAUGGCUGAAAAGAAUGGAAUUAGAGUUGGGGAUGUUAUUGAAAGUCUGGAUGGAAACUGUAUUACUUCUCUGGUUGAGUUGGAAAUAAUGUUGCUGCACUUGUCUCAACAACACCUUGAUAGAAGAAAUAAUAAUGAUGAUUCUGAAAUUGAUGUUGAGCUUGGCAUAUUUCGCACACGCAUACGCAAGCGAAGGACCAUAAAAAUGACACUGAAGUUAACAGAUGAGGGAGAAGAAGUUGUUAGAGGUUAUGUUGAUAUCGGUGCUUGUUCUGCUUAGGUAUGCCACUCACCCAAGCUGCUGCCUGCUAUAGGUUAAAAGUUCACAUGUUCUCUGAAAGUACUGGUUCUCUCCCGCUCUGGAAGCAUGGUUACUCAUCCUUGUGAAGCUAUGUAAAUAUAUGUAUGCAAUCCUCUAGUGAUUAACUUAUUACGCGAAUCAGGUCGACUCAUGCUGCUAUUUGUUAACUAAGUGAUGAAUUUCAACUGUAUUAUACCUGGACAAGAAAUUGUUGUGAAGAUGCAGUUUAUGCCCUGAAUCUUGGGGAUGUGUCAUGGGUGCUCCCCUUUGCAAGACUAA